CCUACGGGGGGCAGCAGUGAGGAAUAUUGGUCAAUGGACGAGAGUCUGAACCAGCCAAGUAGCGUGAAGGAUGACUGCCCUAUGGGUUGUAAACUUCUUUUAUCUGGGAAUAAAAUGUUCCACGUGUGGGAUUUUGUAUGUACCAUAUGAAUAAGGAUCGGCUAACUCCGUGCCAGCAGCCGCGGUAAUACGGAGGAUCCGAGCGUUAUCCGGAUUUAUUGGGUUUAAAGGGAGCGUAGGUGGAUUGUUAAGUCAGUUGUGAAAGUUUGCGGCUCAACCGUAAAAUUGCAGUUGAAACUGGCAGUCUUGAGUACAGGAGAGGUGGGCGGAAUUCGUGGUGUAGCGGUGAAAUGCUUAGAUAUCACGAAGAACUCCGAUUGCGAAGGCAGUUCACUGGACUGCAACUGACACUGAGGCUCGAAAGUGUGGGUAUCAAACAGGAUUAGAUACCCUUGUAGUC
rnacentral:rRNA from 1 species